rnacentral:rRNA from 1 species
AUGACCGUGACGCUCGAGGAUGUCUCGUUGGUCACCGGUCUUGCUAUCGACGGGAGGCCUCUAUGUAUGAGCACCGAUUCUGAUGGGUGGCGCGAGCAGAUGAUUGCUCUUAUCGGUAUGGCUCCUACCGAGGAGGAGGGAGAAGAGAAGAAGAAGAGGGAAAGGAAGGCAGCCGGAGCUGCUUUCACGUGGAUUCAAAAUAACUUUGCGACGUACCCUCCGGAUGCAACUGAUGAUGUGAUCCAGACACAUGCUCGUGUGUAUAUAUGGUACAUUGUGUCGAGGACUUUGUUUCCUGACUCCACUGGCAAGAACGCUCCAUGGAUGUGGCUGAAGGCGUUGACCGUCUUCGAUAGCAAAUGGAGCUGGGGUUCAGCGACUCUUGCCUACUUGUACCGACAGGUAGUUGGUCUGUUUUGUGAUCAACUCAUUUAUUCAUUAGCAAUGCAAGCUUGCUGUCAAGUUAACAUUGUUUUUCUUUCAUAUGUAGCUGGAUGA